rfam:Culex pipiens quinquefasciatus supercont3.111 genomic scaffold, whole genome shotgun sequence.
UAAACGGCCCUUUUCAGGGCCACUAAUUCUAUCACGAAAGAGUUGU